CCCCUAGACACAGCUCUUUAUGCUUUUAUCGGAUCUUCUUCAGAAGUUAAAGUUUUAUUUUAUGGUAUAUUGCUAUGUAAACAUGUGCAUGUGGUUGCUUUUGUCUUUUAUUGUUAUCGUUGAAAGUUAGUAGAGUUUUGGUAUAGUUAGUAGAGUUCUAAGCAAGGUGCUAAUAAGAUGUGCCAUUUUCUUGGAGAAAUCGAUGUUUGUGUUCUUGUGCUGUGCAUCUACACGUACAAGUCAUCAGCAUGCACUACAAGGAAAACAGCAUCAGACAAGCGUUUUUGCCCGUUGUCUGACACCUCGAAAAACCGUGGUCUAUCGAGGCGCCGAUACGCAUAUCAGACAACGGGUCGAACGUUGUCUGAGUGUGGGCAACACGAUGGUUCACUUUAACUAAAACGUUGUGCAACACCCAGAAACAACAACGGGAUUAAUAAAAGGAAAUGUUGUUGUAAACGAUUCAUAACAAUAGUCAUUUUCUAAAUUUGUGUUGUUAAAUAAGACUAUCCACAACUGUUUUUGUAGUUAGCUAGACUUGUUGGCAAGAGGAUCAUACAACGAAAUUUGGAGUAGAGAUGAUCGUUGUUUACUCUCUAGUACAACGGUUUUAGAGCACAAGAUCACUUGUGCAAGGAUCCUUCUAACAAUAUUUCAGCUUUUGAAACAAUUGUGUGAAAGCUCUUUUACAAUGGUUUUUCUUGCACAAAAGGUCGUCGUAUAUAGAUAUAGACAACGGGUUUAGUUUUUUUGUUAACUUGUUUGUGUGCCUCUUUCACAACAAUUUUAUUUAUAAAAAUAUAUUGUAUGUAGACAUUGAGACAACAGUUAAUUUUUUAAUCUUGCCAGUUUGUUGUCUUUAGCAUAUUUGGACAAGUGUUUCUAUUUCAUUACUUUUGUAAAUAAUAUGUUUAGACAAUGGUUUUAUCACAAGGAGUGAUUGUGCAAGUUUUAUCAGACAAUGCUCUUUAAGACCGUGAACAUUGUAUAAUGUUAUUUAUAACAACUGGCAUGUAUAUUUUCCAUUAGCUAAAAGUAUAAAAGACAAUGGUUUUACACAACCCAAUUAAACUAAUAUAGAUAAUUUAAUUAAGAAGCAAACAAUUAGUAAGCUAAAUUUCUCCAAGGAAUACUAUUAAGACAAAUGUAUAAUAAAAUGUUUUGACAUUACAAUGAAUACUUAUUUUUGUGACAUUGUUGAAAGCCAAGUUGACAACACCACUGCAUGAAAAAAAGUGAAUCAUAUGAAGCCUCUCAACAUCCCUUGACCUGGAAAAAAGAGAAAAAAUUAGAGAAAUGAUGGAGUAAUGCUACAAUUAAUCUACCACUCAAGUGUUUCACUUAGGCAUAUAACUUAUAAGAGUGAGUUGAAGUAAGACUUACUAUAUUUGUUAUAAUAUAUAUAAGAUAUAUAUGACCCGUUGUUACAGUACGUAUAAGAUAUAAAAUAGAAUCUGAUAUGCAUGUAGACUCGAAUAACAUAAUAAUACACAGUUACUCUAAUUAAAUCACAUUAUCUCUUUAAAUAUGCAUAGACAAAAAUAAUUGCCCUAGAAAUUUUGUCUUUAAAAGAUGAAUUACAACAAGAUUCUCACAGGUCUUUAGAAGCCACUAAUGAGCACCAAACCGGACUUAAUCUUCUGUCAUGUCUGAUGUUGUUAGCAUCUAACAAAGCCUGCAGAGAAACAUUUGAAUUUUUCUAGAAGUAUUUGCCUUUUUUGGACUCAAACUUAACAACUUCUGUCUUUCACAAUCAGGAGGGUGUAAAUCAGUCCCAUUCUUUUUAUCUCUGGUUUUCCUUUUAGUUCUAAAAGAAAGUUAUUUAGUCUUCACAACAUUUGUAGGUUCUGACUUGGAUGCAGAUUCUUGUAAGGUAGACAUUGAGAAUUUACACCUAUUUGCAACUUCUACCAGAAAGUUCAGAGACUUCCAUUAAAUCAACAUGAGAAUUCAAAAGUCAUCUUAAAACUAUUUUUUAUGUGUGAUAACAUCUUCUGCCCUUUAUACAUUCACAUCCCAUGCAUACCUUCACACCCAAACAUCAUAAUAUCCUUGACAUGGUCACAAUUUCAAUACAGAGCAUUAACAAUUAUAAUUAUGCUUGAAUUGAAAGUUAAGGAAAUUAUAUCCAUUCAUGUUAGUUCCAAGUACCAAAAACAAAAAUAUAUCACACAACAAAUUUCACAAAGCCGAUCACAGUUUUAAUACAAUGGAAAAAAAUCAUACAGCAAACACAAAUUCAACUCAAACCCAUCAAAAAAUACACACCCCCUCCAUCUUACACACAUACAUGAAACUAAACAAAAACAAAUUACCUAAUAGGCCGUCUAUCAAAAUGAGCCCAAAAUUUAUCAUCAAAAUCAGCUUCUUCGGCCACUUUAUUCUCUGAAUCUUUGAGUUUCCACUUUAGGCUCGAAUUGAAGCAAUUAGCUUGUUGCAGACAAAAUCUACAAAAGAAAAUCGAACAUGAGAAACAGUAGAAAGCCUUGGUAAUUGAAAAGGCUAAACAAAAGAUGUUAAUUAUGCAUAAUUAUACAUCCUGCAUCUACAAAACAUCCAUUCCCAAAGAAACCCAUAGCAAGCUUAAAUUACUCCCAGAACAAAAAUACAAAACAAAACUAUACAAAAAAAAUCAAGAGAGAGAUAGAGAGAGAGAAUUGAAGAUACAAAACUCCAUGGCCCAAAACUAAAAUUAAAUUAGUAAAAUCAUCUCUCUCCUCAUCAUAAUAUAAUUGGUUGUUAAACUGAGCAGCAUGGUCAACGCCUCCAUCGGAAACUUAUAUGGUCCGCCGGGUCACUGCCAAUGGCAACAGAUCUGGGAGUUUUGUCGAAAAUCAAAUAGAGAGGGGGAGGGAGGGAGGGAGGGAGAGGGGCGAAUAUAGAAAUCAGGGGAGAGAGGGAGGGAUAUGCUCUGUGACGAGAGGAAGAGAAAGAUGUAGAACAAGAGAGAUGCUCAUCUGAAUCUCUGCCUUACAAAUCUAACAGGGGGAAGUGAAAAUUUGGGUUAAUAGAUAAAGGGGGGAAAUGAAAAUUUGGGUUAAGAGAUAAGGGGGGAAGUGAAAACGUUUGUUGAGGGAUGAAAUUGACUGAUACGGGAGUUAGAAAAACUAUGAAUAUAAUAUACAUAACAAAAUUAAUGUACUGUAAUAUCCAGUGUAGUUGAAUUCUUAAACAUGAUUUUUUUUUUAUAUUUAUCUAGUUGAUUACAAAAAUAUCAUAUUAAAUAAUUUUUAAAAAUAUUAAUAUUUUAUUAUGUGUAAAAUUUAUUUCUAAAAUACAAAAUUAUCUUAUAAAAUUUUCUUUUAAAAAAAUAUUUCUUUCUUAAGAGUUAAAAAUUCUCGUUUCCUCGAUCAAUUUCGAUUUUCGUACUCUUUAACUUAGAAAAAUAUUUUAUAUUACCUAUAUAUGCAAAUAUACAUUGUUCAUUUGUAAUAAAAAGAUAUCACAUAAAAUAAGAAAAUAAUUAUUUUAGCAUGUGAGUAAUUUAUUAGUAUGUGAAUAAUCAAUUUUUUGACAAUCCAACCGAAUUCUAAUACCAACUAAUCUAAGUAAUUAAUGAUGUGAAAAUAUAAUUAUAAAACAAGAAGACAAUCUUGUAUAAUUUAUUUAAGAAAAAUCCAGUAAAACUAUUGUAUAACAAAUUUUCUUUUUAAGAGUUAAAAUUUUUCGUUUACUUGAUCAGUUCUUGUAUUUGUAAUUAUUAAUUAGUAAUUAUUUUUGGAUUAAUAUUGUGUUAAUUAUUAAUUAUUAAUUAUUUUUGGGAUUUGACGUGAGUAUUAGUAAGUGUUUUAUGUUCACGAGUUAGGAAGUAUUGGAUAGAAAUUUUGUUAUUUACAAGAUUUGCUCUGAAUUAGUUUAUAAUUUGUUUUAAAUGAUCUGUCCCUAUGGAUGUUAAUAACUAACAAUAUUAGUCAUGCACAAAAAAAUUUAGAUUUUUCUAUGUUUAUUUUGUAUGACAAAACUAGUCAAUCAUAAGUUUUGUCUUAUUAUAAAAAGGUAAUUUUUGUCUCAUAGUAUCUAACAGACAACGGUAUUUAUACGCACGUGUGUUGUACGAGUUAAAAUAACACAACUGUUAUCGACAUUAUACCGUUGUAACAUAAUUUAUUGUCUAAAAUAGGCUCAAACAACGUUUCUGGAAAAACCCGUUAUAUGUAAAUAGUGUAGACAACGGUUUCUGGGAGGGAAACCGUUGUAUAACAAAUUUUCAUUUUUAAGCGUUAAAUAUUCACAUUUCCGUGAUCAAUUUUAUUUUUUGUUACCCUUUGUCUUAACAAAUAUAUUUAUAUUAUGCAUAUAUGCAGAUAUCUAUUGUUCAUUUGUACUAUGAAGAUAAUUUUGUAGUUCGGACGUGAGUAUUAGUAUGUGUUUUAUGUUUACAAUUUAGAUUGUACUAAAUAGAAUGUUUGUUAUGUAUACAAUUAACUCUAUAUUAAUUUAUAAAUUUUUGUUUUGAUGAUCUAACCGUACGGAUGUCGAGAACUAACAAUAUUAGUCAUGUGUAAAAAAUUUUAAAAUUAUUUAUGUUUAUUUUGUAUGUUUUUUAACAAUACUUGUCAAUCGUAAAUUUUGUCUUAUUAUAAAAAGGUAAUUUUUGUCAUGUAGUGUCUUAACACACAACAGUUUUUAUACGCAACUCUGUUGUAUCAUUGACGAAGAUAAUUUUGUAGUUCGGACGUGAGUAUUAGUAUGUGUUUUAUGUUUACAAUUUAGAUUGUACUAAAUAGAAUGUUUGUUAUGUAUACAAUUAACUCUAUAUUAAUUUAUAAAUUUUUGUUUUGAUGAUCUAACCGUACGGAUGUCGAGAACUAACAAUAUUAGUCAUGUGUAAAAAAUUUUAAAAUUAUUUAUGUUUAUUUGUAUGUUUUUUAACAAUACUUGUCAAUCGUAAAUUUUGUCUUAUUAUAAAAAGGUAAUUUUUGUCAUGUAGUGUCUUAACACACAACAGUUUUUAUACGCAACUCUGUUGUAUCAUUGAUAAUGACACAACUGUUAUGGAACUUAACUGUUGUAAGAGAAUCUAUUGUCUAAAAUAGGCUCAAACAACGCUUCGGGGAAAACCCGUUGUAUAAAAGUUGUGUAGACAACGGUUUAUAGGAAGAAAAUCGUUGUAUAAAAGUUGUGUAGACAACGGUUUAUAGGAAGAAAAUCGUUGUAUAAUAAAUUCUCAUUAAAGAGUUAAAAAUUCGCAUUUUCUUGAUCAAUUCUUGUUUUUGAACUGUUUGUCUUAACUAAUAUAUUUAUAUUAUGCAUAUACGCAAAUAUUUAUUGUUCAUUUGUACUAUGAAAAUAAUUUUGUAGUUCAGACAUGAGUAUUAGUAUGUGUUUUAUGUUUGCAAUUGAGAAAGUACUGAAUAGAAUCUUUGUUAUGUAUACAAUUAGCUCUGUAUUAUUUUAUAAAUAUUUUUUUCGAUGAUCUGACCGUACGGAUGUCGAGAACUAACAAUAUUAGUCAUGCAUCAAAAAAAUCAAAAUAAUUUAUGUUUAUUUUGUAUGUUUUUUUAACAAUACUAGUAAAUCGUAAAUUUUGUCUUAUUAUAAAAUGGUAUUUUUUGUCCUAUAGUGUUCAACAGACAAUGGUUUUUAUACGCACCUAUGUUGUAUAAUUGAAAAUGACACAACUGUUACAGAAGUUAUACCGUUGUAAGAGAAUCAAUUGUCUAAAUUCAGCUCAAACAAUGCUUCACGAAAAACCCGUUGUAUAAAAGUAGUGUAGACAAUGAUUUAUGGGAAGGAAACCGUUGUAUAAUAAAUUUUCAUUUUUAUGAGUUAAAAGUUCGCAUUUCCUUGACCAAUUAUUCAUCUAAUGCAAGAAAAACCUAUGACUAUCAAGAAAUUGAUUAUUUUGUUAUAACUUCGGUUAGUUAUUUUGAAUAUUUGUACUCUCUUAUGUACAUUUAUUUUCUUAAAAUUCAUUCGGUCAGACAACAUUUUAUUAGUUAGUAGAAGCUUGUUUAUAAGGUCAUCAUACAAUGCUAACAAAAACACUUGUAUGUUAGCUUCCCAGUCACACAACACUAUAUGGAACCCUUGUAUGAACUUUUCGUAAACAACACAACAAAUAAAACACUUGUCUCAUUAUAACAACGGUUUCUUCGAAUAUUGUCUGAGGUUUCUUUACACAAUAGCACCAAAAACAGUUGUCUAUCGUGCAUCAUUACACAAUACCACAGUUAAGACACCGUUGUCUGAUUGAAUUUACUAGACAAUAUUUUUUUAACCAUUGUAGGUCGUGGUGUUAAACAAUAGUUUUUCGAGGAUGAAAAUAAACCGUUGUAUCUCGUUUUCGGCCAACGCUUUUUUCAGCGUCCGUUGUCUGAUCAGUGUUGUCUGAUUCAAGUUUUCUUGUAGUGAUGUAAUCUCAGCAGUGAUCUUGCAAAGAUUAAUUUACUCAUCAUCUCAGAAAAAUUGUGCAGAGAAUUAGAACCUGAAGAGGAGUCAUGGGAAGUUCUCUUCGCAGCAUCUCAGAAUCCUUAAAUGGAUCUAGCUUCUCUAUACACUCAAGUUCUUCUUUAGAAAAGGGAAUUGAAGCUUGAGGCCAAGGGAUCCAUUCAAAAUAAAGUGGUCAUAGUCAAGAAUGUAAGCAGCAACUUCUCUAAAUCCUUUUUCCUGACCCUUACAGAAUGCUUCCAACCUGGCUGUCCAAGCACUUUUUCCACAAGGUCUUUAGGGUUAUUUGGUGCAAAAGGUUCUUCAUCAGUUGCCUUUACUAUAGCCCACUAAGAACAAGAAUUGAAAAGCUUGGGAAGAAGAAUAUGUGAGAUGGUUAGAAUCUCUGCACGAUGCAGAUGCCGCCAGUACAGCGAGCAUAGGUACAGGGAGCACGGAUAUAGAAAGCACCACUACAGGGACCGCCAGUACAGGGAGCAUGGGUACAGGGAGCAAAAGGAUGACUAUGACAAUCAUCGGGCUUACAAGGAUGAUUGUGAUCGGACAAAUCGGCAGGAUCUAAGGGCAAAACGCGUGUUGUGGAGGAGGAUCACAGAUCUCGUUCAAGGGAUUCUUACCAACAAGGGUUGCCAAAGUGACGCAAUAGGUGUAUGAGAUUAGCCGCUUUACCUUGACAGGUACCAACAAGGUGCUGGUUUAUCAUGGAUCC
rnacentral:lncRNA from 1 species